rnacentral:pre_miRNA from 1 species
GAGACACCCUUCUGGGGGGGCAAGACUUGCUUCAGUGGGGCUUUGGUGCUCACUGAGUCUGCCCCCUGAGUGUGUCCCU